UUAUGUUUGCCAUAUGUAAAUCCAGAAAGCACACAAAUGUUCUUGAAUUGUCUAUUGGGAGUAGCUGCCAUUGUGAUACUUCUCGAAAACAAUUUGUGAGUGCUUGACAAAAAAGAAAUCACAUUUAAGAGUCUUGGUGAUAGUGGGUCAUGGUUGUGUAUGAGGUAAUAUGUCAGUGUCAAAUAACGCGUAAAGCACGUGGCUCGCAAGUCAAAAAGAAAACAGUAAAAAGGAAAAAGCAAACAGUAAUAAAAUUAUUAAAGACAAUAAUGCAAACAAUAAGACAAUAGUGAAAUAAAAUAACAAUAAAGUAAAAGGAUAUUUACAGGUAGUUGCGACUGUGGCUCACAUCUUCCUCUGGUUUUACGUCCAGAAACGGCUUGAACGCCCUCUAUGGGUCGAGGAUAGGCUUCCCAUCCAGUUUUCUU
rnacentral:lncRNA from 1 species